UACGUAGGUGGCAAGCGUUGUCCGGAAUUAUUGGGCGUAAAGCGCGCGCAGGCGGUCCUUUAAGUCUGAUGUGAAAGCCCACGGCUCAACCGUGGAGGGUCAUUGGAAACUGGGGGACUUGAGUACAGAAGAGAAGAGUGGAAUUCCACGGUGUAGCGGUGAAAUGCGUAGAGAUGUGGAGGAACACCAGUGGCGAAGGCGACUCUUUGGUCUGUAACUGA
rnacentral:rRNA from 1 species